GCUUUUCAGAGUCCUUGUGGGUGGGGACAAAGCACUUGACUGUGGGAAGAGAAGUUAAGUAGAGCAACAGAUAUCAACUCUUCUCCCUCUCUGCAGAAAUGGUUUAGCGCCAAGAAGAAGUUGUAUUCGUUUUUGGAGGCCGAUGAGUUAGGAAACAAGCUCUUCAUAUCUUGAAGUGUUCCUUGAGCUUGACUGAGAUAGAGAAGAGAAAAUGAGCUAUCCUUGGCUGCAGAGGAGAGCAGACUGGGAACGGUAAUGGGGAGUCAAGAAACAUGCAGUGCAUUUAUACCAGGAUACCAGUCUGUCAAGCCUGUCUGCAAUCUCUGAAAUCUAAGAAAAACCUCAGCCUGAGAACUCGUACAUGCUUAACACUACAGCCAUGGCUCUAGACAGAAACUAGAUACCCUCAGGCAGUAAGACAUUUUCUCCUUCCACUGGGAGUUAAGCUGCUGCAGUCUAUAAGGUAGAGGCUUGCACAGGAGCAGUUACCAUCAGAUCUUAAUACAAAAAUGCGUGUACCAGACCUGGAAAAUGGCGGAAGAUCAACAACUAUGAUCAAAACUAAGGAAAAGCUUCCAUAAACGGAGCAAUCAAAUAGGCUGGAACUUGACACAGAGAAGAGACACCUGAAAGGGGAGUAUCCUAGAGGUCUGGUCUGUGUGUGCCAGAGCAUGAGUAGAUAACAAUCCUUUAUACAUUAUCUUUCCCAGAACAGGAAAUGGGAGAGUCUGAAAUAAAGCUAGUAGCAGCCAAGAUGAAAUCAAAGGCUCAUAUGCAAUGAGUUAAGCAUUGUGUGGAACUUACGCCACGCUGUGCUGUGAAUUCAGAGAGGUUUGUAUGUUCAAAAGGAAACCUGAUAAAGCGCUAGAAGUCUAUUGAAUCUUACUAAGUAGAAAGAAAACGUAUCUGGAUCAAGAAGUCUGAGCAGAAAAUGAAGUCUGGGGAAGCAUUAUGGGGCAUCCUACAUCUUAGUUCUGUCUUUGACUUUCCUUAGGGUUAGCUCAUGGAUUCUGUUGUGUUUAGAAAAGAAACAAAGAGAAUGUCCCAUGCCAAAGCGGGGAGGAAGCGUAGAGAAGUAGACUUAUGGAAAACCAGGUGCUCACAGGACCAAAAAGUGGAAGAAGUGAAGGGGAUGGGGAUACUAGUGAAAAGUACAUAAAUGUGAAAUAUAAUAAGAAAUGUAAAAAUAAGGAGGGUGAUGUUGGGCAUGGAGUAGAACACUCAAAUAAUGCUGACUACUCCUCAUAGAUGUGAGACAUCUCAAAUUUAUUCAUUUAUAGACUGCUUGGGAUAUGGCUGGUGAGGAACAAAAAUAUUUUUUACAGUAAUCAGGAUCUUUGUGGUGCUGCCUGUGAUGGACUGCGUGGCCAAGGCCAGAAGGGAGGACCUGCAACGUGAUUGGACCUCAGCUGAUGGUCUGUAAAUAGAAAGGGAAAGGUAAUGCUGAAGUCUGGUUCUCCUCCACAACUACUCGGACGUCCUGGCCCCAGUUCAUCUGACUUAGCGGCUGGCGAGAGGUCAGUGGAACUGUGGCAGGGCCAUCUCCUGAUGGGUGAUGGUGAUCUCUGCGGAGGACAGAUGCCCUGCCUGCUAUCUCCAGCUGCGACACCACACCUCUUGUUGGCAUGAAUGAAGUUUUUGCUGAAAAGGUGACCUGAGAGACCACCAUGUGCAGUGGGUGCCUUGGGACCUGUGUCACAAGAAACAUGUAGUCAGUGUGUCAACAGGAUUACUCACAAAUCAUGCACUUAGUGCCAGCUCCUUCACCUCCCCUCAGAGGAAGGACUUGAUAGCGAUUGCGGAGAGGUGGCCAUGCAAAGAAAGCUGUUAUGCCUUUCUUUGCCAGUGUUUGUGUGCUAAAUGGAGGGGAGAGAGUACUCCACCAGAUAGAUGGAAGCUGUCAAAGAUGCUCCGGCUCAGGAUGACCAUGCAAGUCUGGACUGAACAGAUCAUACGUCAUAGCACAGACAGCAAGUGGCCAGUCAUCCAGCCAGUCAUGCCUCUGCUGCAUUUAGCCUGUUAAAUUGAAGGAGUCUAGGUGGAAUUCCAUCUCCAGAGAUAUGUUUUUCCACCUAAAAUUCUGCAUCCCCGCUUGGAGAUUUUGAGUUAACAAGUUGAAACCCAUGGCAAAUGUGCCAUUAACUUCAACGUGGAAACAGGCCCAGGAACUGUCAUGUCAUACCAUGCUAGGGCGCUUCUGUAGUACAGCAAGAUCUGGUGAGGGCAGAGCAGCAGCGUGAGAAUGCACUGGAGGAUGUGGUCUACCUUCCCUUGAAGUGACUCCACGUACCAGCUUGCAGACCAGCUUCUAUGUACACCACUGUGAUGAGUGCUGCGAGCCACUGGAUCAGACAUCACAUGCCGUUUACACUUCAGCUCCUGCAGCAGAAAAGACACUGCAGUGUCAUGCUGCAUAGCCAAAGGGAAGGCUGAGGCCAGAGCCACCUCUGCAAAUCUCUGGAUGUAGUAAUGCAAGUGCUUUCUUCAGCAGCAAAGCCAUUUAAAGAACUUGCUACUCCAGGGCACCACCACUGUUGUGGCUCUGCAUCACAGUGUAUCACACUGUCAGGAGCCUCUGUUAAAGCUGCUUGGAUCAAUGAAAUGAUCCAGGUUAAAAAUCCCUCUCGGAAACAGCUUGAGAGUUUGUUUUGCUUUGUUUUAACCAGAAUCAUUUCACUAUCAAUUCUACUUUCUCCUUAGCACAACUGGCAGAUUUACAAACAGCAGUGAGUUGCUAGAAGUCAGAAACUCCUCUUCUACUGGCUCUGUUGCUGAUCAAAACCAUGGAUCGCCUACGCAACAAGUACCUCCUUAGCACACAAGGCUGAGGGGGCCAGUCAGCACCUUAAGCGAACCUUGGAAAAACUAUUGUGUGAUCAGUCAUCGCACUGAAGCAGCAGCACCCGUUCGGUAAAGGCAGUCUUGGAUAAAAAGCUGAAUGCUGUGGUUUCAGUGACUUAUCGUUGAAACCUUGUGGUUUCUGUGUAGGAGGUUAUACAAGCUGGACACGUUUGACAUCCUUGUUUCUGAGCUGUGAAAUCUGUACAUCUAAUUUAUGAAAAUUAUCUCUGGUUUAAUUUUAUUCUUUUUUUUUUAAUGAAGUCAACAUAUUUUCCCUGCAUUCAGUGGAAACAAUAAUGGAAAUGUUUUAAGAUAUACUGUGAACCUGUUUUGACCUUAAAAGGGAGGAGAAUCAAGAUAUUCUUGAUUAUGAUUAAGGUCUAGGAAGGAAAUAAAAAUUAAAUACAGGGAGUUGCAAGUGAGAAGAAAGUAUUUUUCAAGUGUGAAGAUAAAUAGAGAAAUUAGCUAUGGGAAGUCAGAUAAUUUAGAAUAAAACAUGAUACUGGUACUACUUAGGAUAACAUGCAAUAUCUGUGGGCUUUCAGAUGGUGUAAACACACUAGUAAAUUUAUACACAAGGCAAAUGCAAGACUAAUGGAUCUGCAGCAGAAGCAGUUGAAAUCACACACACACAAACAUAAUUUAUCACUAGAUCAGUUAACGUGCUUUUUUCUUUCCUAGUUUAGUUUACUACUAAUUCCCAUGAAUUGAUUCAGUUCUUUGCCAGUUGAAAUGUGCUAAUGUUGGUGCAAAGGACAAAGCAGGUAUGCACAGCUGGAACUCGAAGGAGAGGAAAAUAUAUUUCUUGGCUUCUCUGUGCUGUGUAGUUGUAGAAGAAACGCGCCAUGUCUGCAUUGCCAAACUGGAUUUGUGAGAGUCAUGGACCCACCUGCAUUCCCAUCUCUUCCUUACUUGUCUGGUGCCUUCUGCUCUGGUGAGCACCUACCAUCAUGUAAAUCCCCAGAAAGCUGAGCUGUGGCAAUAAUGGAUACCCAGGUCUGUAAUACUGGCAAAUCAUGAUCCCUUCUCUGCCAUGAGCAGCAGAACCACACAGACUAACAGCAAGUUCUGCCUCUGUCAGGUAAGUUCCCAGAAGCACAGACACCAUUCCCUGUGCCCAAACACGGUAAGUGGAUCUACGGAAACGUAUUUAAAAUGAUCAAAAACCUGAUCAAAGAACUAUUUUCUGAAUAGAAAGCAAAUGUGAAGAAAAAGAACAUGCAAGGUACAAAACAAAGUUUCUUGCUAAAAUGUAAAAAAAAAUAGACUACCUAGGUGAAAAAUAACUACUCAGUGCAUUUGUGGGAGUACAAAAAUCUGUCUGGAAGCAUUAGUCAAAGAUUGUAUAAUACUUCUGUGUAAGCAGAGAUUGCAAGUGUGAUCACCCACUAUCAAUUCACUUCAGGGAGGACCAGCAAGAUUCAUAGUAAUAAUUUUAAGUAAUUUCUAUAUCAAAAAAUCAGUAGAAAGCAAUAGAUUUUAAUUGGUUCUGGUCAUUGGUCCUGAUAGACCAGUUCCUUUUCAUAAAGGGGAAAAAAUUUUUACUCUAAUAUUGUGCUGUUUACUGGAAAAUGUCUUGUCCUGCUUGUGUUUCUUUCCAGAAACCUGAGCCAAUAAUUAUUGUAGCUACAGCUGCGGAUAAGUAUACAAGAAAAUAAUAAAAUUACAGUCUGAAGUU